UACGGAGGGUGCAAGCGUUAAUCGGAAUUACUGGGCGUAAAGCGUGCGCAGGCGGUUUGUUAAGUCCGUUGUGAAAGCCCCGAGCUCAACUUGGGAAUUGCAGUGGAUACUGGCAGGCUUGAAUCCGGGAGAGGGAUGCGGAAUUCCAGGUGUAGCGGUGAAAUGCGUAGAUAUCUGGAGGAACACCGGUGGCGAAGGCGGCAUCCUGGACCGGCAUUGACGCUGAGGCGCGAAAGCCAGGGGAGCAAACGGG
rnacentral:rRNA from 1 species